rnacentral:rRNA from 1 species
AUUGAACGCUGGCGGCAUGCCUUACACAUGCAAGUCGAACGGCAGCGCGGGGCAACCUGGCGGCGAGUGGCGAACGGGUGAGUAAUAUAUCGGAACAUACCCUAGAGUGGGGGAUAACGUAGCGAAGGUUACGCUAAUACCGCAUACGCACUAAGGUGGAAAGUGGGGGAUCUUCGGACCUCAUGCUCAUGGAGUGGCCGAUAUCUGAUUAGCUAGUUGGUGAGGUAAAGGCUCACCAAGGCGACGAUCAGUAGCUGGUUUGAGAGAACGACCAGCCACACUGGAACUGAGACACGGUCCAGACUCCUACGGGAGGCAGCAGUGGGGAAUUUUGGACAAUGGGGGGCAACCCUGAUCCAGCAAUGCCGCGUGAGUGAAGAAGG